GUAUAUAACCAAAUUACAAGCACCUAACCAGAAAUUCACCUUCAAUAGAAGUUAACCUACAUGGCUAUAUCUCCCCACGCUCGAAGAACCAUAACAUGUAAGUUUGAUAAGUUAUGCAUCACCAAUCAAACAUUUUAUAAUCAUUAUUCUUAAAAAUUACUACGAAUACACACGAAUCAUCAAACCGCAAGAGUAUGAAACAAUCAAUUACAUUACGAUCGGAUCUACAUAAUAACAUGAUUCAAAUUUCAACAGCGAAAACAUGAAAAGUUCAAAAUAUCUAAUUAACAGGUGAAAUGAUUGAUUCAAAUCAGAUUAUUCUCUAUUCGAUCAGACGAUAUCUAAUUAACAGGUGAAAUGAUUGAUUUGAAUCAGAUUAUACUCUAUUCGAUCAGAUGAUUAAUGAACAAUACUGACCUUUAGGGUUCUGAUUCUAGGAGAUGUGGCACGAUACAUGA
rnacentral:lncRNA from 1 species